rnacentral:rRNA from 1 species
UACGUAGGGUGCGAGCGUUAAUCGGAAUUACUGGGCGUAAAGCGUGCGCAGGCGGUUUUGUAAGCCAGAUGUGAAAUCCCCGGGCUUAACCUGGGAACUGCAGUCGGGACUGUCUAGCUAGAGUAUGGGAGAGGGAAGUGGAAUUUCAGGUGUAGCGGUGAAAUGCGUAGAUAUCUGAAGGAACAUCAGUGGCGAAAGCGACUUCCUGGACCAAUACUGACGCUCAUGUGCGAAAGCGUGGGGAGCAAACAGG